UGUCCUCUCCUGGGACGAGUCCUUUUGCGGAAUCCCACCGAGGCAGCGUCCCCUCCACCCCCUGCACCCCGGGCCCAGCUGUCUCUGGAUGAUGUCAUCGACUGGAUGCACACAAUUUUGUGAAGCUGCCCCCAUUCAAAGCCACCAACCGCAGCCUGGAGGAGCCCACAAAGCAGUGAACACAGAUGGGACCUGCCCACCACACACUGAAGAGUGAAUGCUCUUCAGGAAAAUACUUCCAAGGAGUGUGUUCUUGGACAGAAUAUUCCAUUUUGUUACUGAGAAACAGACAAUUUCUAGUUUGAUGGUAAAAUUAUUUCCUUCAAAUAUAUAUAUAUUUACAUUUCAGGAAGGUGCUUGGAGUUUUAUGAACUCAAGAAGUUUACCUUCAGAAACAGUAAUUAUUCCCAUUACAACUAAAAUGGGGAAAAAAGAAAAAAAAAGUCUUUUGGGUGUCCUCCCUCUCUAGUGUCAAUGGCAACUUCUUUCCCAUACAUAAUCUGUCACUGAUUUGAAAAGUCCUAGCCAGGAAACACUUCAGCAAGAAAGGACACAACCUUCACAGCAUUGUGUCCCACACAUUUGCUUGGCCUACGGCUCCUAUAUUUGAAAAUAAAAUAUUAACUCUGA